rnacentral:rRNA from 1 species
UAAAGCUUCAAACUGGGAUUAGAUACCCCACUAUUCUUAGAUAUAAAUGGGUUAUAAUUAUUCCUACCAGAGUACUACGAACCAUUAAGCUUAAAACUCAAAGAACUUGGCGGUGCCUCAGACCACUCAGGGGAACCUGUUUCAUAAUCGACAAUCCACGUUAAACCUUACCUUUUUUUGUAUUCAGUAUGUAUACCGUCGUCGUCAGGUAACUUUUCAGAAUAUAGAAGUUAGCAACAGAGAGUUAUUAUCUCUUACGUCAGAUCAAGGUGCAACCGAUAAAAAGGAGAGAAUGGGUUACAAUUAAUAUUUUUAAUUACGGAAAAAAAGAAAGAAAAUUCUUUAGGAAGGAGGACUUGAAAGUAAGAUAAAAUUAUAAAAAUUGUCUGAAUCAAUUGGCCCUAAGGCGUGCACACACCGCCCGUCACCCUCCUGCAGUCAA